rnacentral:rRNA from 1 species
CUGCCACACCCAUGAUUCCUAUCUCCUUCUCCCCCGUGCUCCCUCUUCUCUCAUUCUCUCCAUCUCCACGAGCAUUAGCACGCCGCUAGCCAGCACCCUCCUCCCGCCUUCUCCCCUGAGCAGCCACACGCCGCUGGCCAACGCCGCCCGCCCAUCCGGCGCCCCCGUCCAGCGCCUACCCGUCCGGCGCCCCCGUCCUGUGCCCUCCUGUCCCUGAGCAGCCGCGUGCCAUGGCCAGCACCGGCGAGCCCCGUCCGUCCACCGCCCAGCCCAGCGCCCUCCCGCCCAUCCGUCCGCCACACCACCAGCGCCGCGUGAAGCUCUACCUCGCGAGCUCGGCCUCACCGGUCGGCCGUGCGCACCCCAGCUCCUCUGGUCGCGCACCCGAAUCCGUCCACACCCCGAGCUCCUCCUCACCUGCCGGUCCUGCGCUCCGCCUCACGAGCUCCGCCGCUAGAGCAGCCUGGCGCUCCGCCGGUUGAGCGCCGGCCAUCCCCGACCUCCCUCGCGUGCCUCUCCGUGGCGCCGGAGCGAGUCAUCUCCUGAGCGUGGCCGAGCAGGGCCGGGCGGCGGGGUGGCGAGCAGAGCACGACAGAGAGGCAAGACGAGCGUCGGGCUGGACAGCGGGGCGGGCAGAGCACCGGAGUGGAGAAGAAGGACCCGAUUGCUUUUCAGUUUUACUUGUUAGGGUCCUUUGUGUUAAUUUCCAGGACUAUUCUAUAACUCUAGUUUUGGUUCGGGCUCAUAUUUGCAUAUUGUACUCCACUAACGUUGAAUGAACGGCACUACACACGGAUGGGCCUUUCCCUGUUAAAAAAGAAGAAGAAAGAUAGGUAUUGCACUCGCACGAGUUGACCGCAUCGCUCGGGAACAAUGCUGUUGUGGGUGUGUGUGUGUGUUUUUUAAAAAAAUAACUUCUUUGCUGUCUAUGAUAUAAGAGGCUGACGGCAAAGACGCAAAUAGCUGAC